AACGAACGCUGGCGGCAGGCUUAACACAUGCAAGUCGAGCGCCCCGCAAGGGGAGCGGCAGACGGGUGAGUAACGCGUGGGAAUCUACCCAUCUCUACGGAAUAACGCAUGGAAACGUGUGCUAAUACCGUAUACAUCCUUCGGGAGAAAGAUUUAUCGGAGAUGGAUGAGCCCGCGUUGGAUUAGCUAGUUGGUGGGGUAAAGGCCUACCAAGGCGACGAUCCAUAGCUGUUCUGAGAGGAUGAUCAGCCACACUGGGACUGAGACACGGCCCAGACUCCUACGGGAGGGAGCAGUGGGGAAUAUUGGACAAUGGGCGCAAGCCUGAUCCAGCCAUGCCGCGUGAGUGAUGAAGGCCCUAGGGUUGUAAAGCUCUUUCACCGGUGAAGAUAAUGACGGUAACCGGAGAAGAAGCCCCGGCUAACUUCGUGCCAGCAGCCGCAGUAACAC
rnacentral:rRNA from 1 species